rnacentral:lncRNA from 1 species
GAAAGUUGACUUUUAGUUGCAACUUUCUAAGUCAUUUGGUCUCUGGUAGAGAUAUCAUACCUGGUCGUUGGUAUGCUUUAGUCUUUAUGUUCUGUUUUUUUUUUUGUUUUUUUUUUGUGUUUGCGUUUCAUUGUUAUCUUACCAAACAUUGUCUUAUUUAAAGAAUGCAGAUAAUUUUUGAUGAUGAAUUUGCACUUAAUAAAGGAACUGAACGCCAUUUUUGGACCAGAUUCAUAUAGUGCGGUGACAGAAGUGUAAAAAGUCGUCUAGAUCGCGAGUUUAAUCUCCCCAAAUAACACACGGCUAAAAAUGGUCUUAACUUAAAGACAAAUAUGUCUUCUUUAGUUUUUGCCCUGUCGUCAGAAUUUCGUACGGUCACUUUUUUCUAAAAAGUCGUUUUAAUGACUGGUAGUAUAUUGGAGAGUUUCAACCCCCCUUUUUCAAAAUGAAAAAAAAUGGGUAUGUUUGCUUUUACAUUUAAUUGAAAUAGUUUUUCCUGAAGCUAUUUUUACAUGUCAAAAUAUGCUAUUCAGUAUUUUAUUUUCUUCUAAUCUAUAAAAUUUGUG